UUUCUUUUCUUUCUCUAUCUCGCUACUCUCGCUAUAUAUAUAUAUAUAUUAUUUACACUCCAACAAUAACAAAACUCUGGCUCGUUUUAAGUGUUUUAACUCCCGAUCACCGCUACCCUUUCCGAUUGAUCUGGAGCCCCAUAACGCAUGUCAAGGCUCUGCCCGACUAAGUUCCUUGGGGUUCGGUCUCAUGACAUAGGGAUAAGGUUGAAUUAGGGGUACUAUACUUAACACGAGUGCAUUAUAUAUUUUUAAAAUAGCUCAGAAGUUAUACCCAAGAUUCUACCAGGAGGCUUUCUAGUUGAACCCUAAAGUUACAAAUUAUGCGGGCAUGUGGUGGAAGGAUGACACAGAGCCGCAUAAGAUGGGUGCGACAUGGUGGUGAUAGCAAAGAUUGCGGUUGUAUUUAUAGGCAAUGUAAUGGUUUGAAAUGAACAUAUAUGCUUUUCAGAUUAUUAUUCGAAUACAUGAAUAAUUAAUGUAUAUUUUUUACUUCGUAAACUUAUUAAAAUAAUUA
rnacentral:lncRNA from 1 species